CAACGUUGUACCUUCCCUUCCACCUCUAAAAUCCUACCUUUCCACCUCUGCUUGUCGAGGAUCUUCGCAAUUUCGCCUUUCUGCUGCCUCGCGAUCAAAGCGUGCUCCGGCACGCCAGCAGAUCGCGGUCUCUGGCGGGCCGAACUGAGCGGCAGCGCCGGCGACGGGCGCAGGAGAUGGCGGGCGCUGCUGCCGAGGCGAGGUCCUCGCCGCCACAGCCGGCGUUCGUGAAGGUCAAGCGGGACUUUCUGGAAGUGCGCCUGACGUGCCCCCUGUGCCACAAGCUUCUCCGGGAGGCAACCACCAUAUCCGAGUGCCUCCAUACUUUUUGCAGAAAGUGUAUUUUUGACAAACUUGCUGAUGAGGAGCUAGAUUGCUGCCCAACAUGUAAUAUUGAUUUGGGUUGUACACCGGCGGAAAAGCUUAGGCCUGAUCACAAUCUACAGGAUAUAAGGGCAAAAAUAUUUCCAUUUAGGAAGGAAAAAGUUAAUAAUCUUGAAGUGCCUUCUGUUCUAUUGCCUGUCAGAAUAAAGGAGAGAUCACUUUCUUCGUUGGUAGUGAACACUCCUCGAGUAGCAAGUCAGACUGGCUUAACAGGAAGGAGAACUAAAGCUUCUAGAAGGGCUGCUGCCUUAAGUGGUCUCAGUCCCACUAUUAAUGAAUCCGUUAGAAAGGAGGAUGAUGGUGGAGUCCAAGCCAAGAACUCAAAUUCAUUUGAGACACUCAAGACAAUUAAAAAUAGAAGGCAGAAUGAUUCUGAUGCUGUACCAUCCGUUCUUGCAUCUAAUAAAGAUAAACAGAAUGAUAAAGAAUAUGUGGAUAAGACUGAACUAUGGGAGCCUUUAGAUUGUCUGUUUGAAGCUGCAAAAAGAACGAAAGCUCUUUGUUCAAGCCAGCAAAGUCCUGUUGUUAAAGCAGAUCAAGUCAGUGGCCUUGACAGUGAAGUGCCUAAUUCCAGAACCAACUUAAGGGAGCACCCACAUAAAUCCAAAGUUCAAAAUGACAAGAAUGGAAUUCCCAUUUCUCCAUUGUUGGCCAAAGCUAGAAGAUUACAUGGAGUCAGCCGGAGGAGGAGGGAGAGGGGAACCUCAGCUCAAGCACAGCUCGAUGCUGUAGGUUGUAAACGUGAAAGGAAAAUACAACAGUUUUGGUUUUCAUUAGUUGCUGCAGCUGACCAGGAAGGAAGUGCCCCGCUGCAUCAGUUACGUGCGAGAUACUUGAGGAUUAAGCAUCGCAUCAUGCACGAGCAGGAAGAUUGUCUGGACAAAUGUGUUCAUGGAAGCAAGAUUCUGCAGCCAUGGAGAUCCUAUAUGCUAUUCUGGAAGAUGCCAUUGUCCAUUUAGAUGGUAGCCUUCCUGUUUCUUUUGUUCAAAAGUAUCUUGCCAAGAAGCUUGAUAUUGCAAAUGAAUAUGAGGUGGAGAUCAUGUGCCGGGGCCAAGCAGUGAGCCCAAUAAUGACCCUGCAAAACUUAGUUGAUCUGUGGUUCCAAGCUGGAUCAUCACACAAAAUCCAGACACUGACGGGCUCUUCGGGCAAGGACCUUGUCAUGGUGUUAGUUUAUCGCCACAGAGCUCCAGCCUCUUGAUUGUGCUCAUUCUUUCAAAUCUCCAAUAACUGCAAAGUGUCACUUGCAAUUGGGCCCUUGAGCUCUCAUAGAUGGUUAGCCUGUGCCAAGUGCUGAGGUGUGUAGGCCUUUGGUUAAUUACAUUUUGUGUUUGUACGUCGAUGUAUGUACGUUUCCAAAUUAUCAUUUUUAAUCAUUGGAACACAUCUUCAUCCAUCACUCCUUAUCGUCACCAAUAUGAGACAGUGGUGAUCGCAAGCAGGGUAUUUAUGGUUAUUUUAUCUGUGCUAGAUGUUAAAGCAUCAAUUUCCUUUCGAUAAGUUAAAGCGUCGUAUUUUCAGCAUUCUUCGAGAAUAUGGUAAAGGUUAUAUAUUCAGUAUCUUCAUCUCUUUAUU